GACGAACGCUGGCGGCGUGCUUAACACAUGCAAGUCGAGCGGUAAGGCCCUUUCGGGGUACGACGAGCGGCGAACGGGUGAGUAACACGUGGGUGACCUGCCUCUAGCUCUGGGAUAAGCCUGGGAAGCUGGGUCUAAUACCGGAUAUGACCUCGCGGUGCAUGUUGCGGGGUGGAAAGCCUUGUGCGGCUAGGGAUGGGCCCGCGGCCUAUCAGCUUGUUGGUGGGGUGAUGGCCACCAAGGCGACGACGGGUAGCCGGCCUGAGAGGGCGACCGGCCACACUGGGACUGAGACACGGCCCAGACUCCUACGGGAGGCAGCAGUGGGGAAUCUUGCGCAAUGGGCGAAAGCCUGACGCAGCGACGCCGCGUGAGGGAUGACGGCC
rnacentral:rRNA from 1 species